rnacentral:snRNA from 1 species
AUUGGAUCGAUACAGAGAAGAUUAGCAUGGCCCCUGCGAAAGGAUGACAUGCAAAUCCGUGAAGCGCUCCAUAUUUUA